rnacentral:rRNA from 1 species
CACGGGGGGAGCAAGCGUUGUUCGGAAUUACUGGGCGUAAAGGGCGCGUAGGCGGUUCGAUAAGUCAGCUGUGAAAACCAUGGGCUUAACUCAUGGCCUGCAGUUGAGACUGUCGGGCUGGAGUGUGGGAGAGGAGAGUGGAAUUCCUGGUGUAGCGGUGAAAUGCGUAGAUAUCAGGAGGAACACCGGUGGCGAAGGCGGCUCUCUGGACCACAACUGACGCUGAGGCGCGAAAGCUAGGGGAGCAAACAGG